rnacentral:rRNA from 1 species
UACGUAGGGUGCAAGCGUUAAUCGGAAUUACUGGGCGUAAAGCGUGCGCAGGCGGUUUUGUAAGUCUGUCGUGAAAUCCCCGGGCUCAACCCGGGAAUUGCGAUGGAGACUGCAAGGCUAGAAUCUGGCAGAGGGGGGUAGAAUUCCACGUGUAGCAGUGAAAUGCGUAGAGAUGUGGAGGAACACCGAUGGCGAAGGCAGCCCCCUGGGUCGAAGAUUGACGCUCAUGCA